rnacentral:rRNA from 1 species
CCUUUCAGAGGGGGACAACAGCUGGAAACGGCUGCUAAUACCGCAUGACACAUAUCUAUCGCAUGGUAGAUAUGUCAAAGAUUUAUCGCUGAGAGAUGGCCUCGCGUCUGAUUAGCUAGUUGGUGAGGUAACGGCUCACCAAGGCGACGAUCAGUAGCCGACCUGAGAGGGUGAUCGGCCACAUUGGGACUGAGACACGGCCCAAACUCCUACGGAAGGCAGCAG